rnacentral:rRNA from 1 species
ACUAAACAGGAUUCUUGUAGUAAUUGCGAAUGAACAAGGAAAAGUUCAUAAUGAAAAUUGAGGCUUUGUGGUCUUGAAUUGUGUUUGACAGAUGCACUGCCAAUGGAAGCGUAGAUGGAAGCCAUUUGGAAAAAUGCAUUAAUGAUGGUGAGAGUCCCGUGUGUCAUUUACAGUUUUCUGUGCACGGUGUGCGUUCUAAGAUUCACGUUCCCUGGGAUUGGAACGCAAAGUGGGUGGUAGAUUUCAUUCAAAGCUAAAUAGUGGAUUGAGACCGAUAGUAAACAAGUACCAUGAGGGAAAGGUUAAAAGGACUUUGAAAAGAAAGUUAAACAGUGUCUGAAAUUGCUGAAAAGGAAGCAGAUGUAACCAAUUCGUUCUUUUCAAGAUUGUCAUGUACAAGCGUGAGUGCUGGCUGCAUCAACGCAAGUGUGGCAGCUGCCACAAAUCUGAUUGUGCCUGGUGAUUCUUGCUUUGUGUGUCAAACAUCAUUUUGCAAUCAAGGAACACAUGGAUCAUAUGGACGUUUGCUUUCGUGUGAAUAAAUGUUUUUUGUAGACAUCAAUUGUGGAUUGUCAUUGUGCGUGGAUGAUUUGGUUUUUGAUUGCGUUCUCACAUUGUGCGUGCGUGUAUCAAUAAACUUUAAAUUUGACUCAAAAACAUUGACAAACUGGUUUCAUUUGACCCGUCUUGANACACGGACCAAGGAGUCUAACACAUGUGCAAAUUCUUGGGUGCGCAAGCCUGUUUGUGCAAUAAAAGUGAUUUGCUGUCACAGCUGCAACAGCAACUAACCGAUCAAUCGAGAGAGGUUUGAGUAUCAGCAUAUUUGUUAAGACCCGAAAGAUGGUGAACUAUGCCUGAGAAGGGUAAAUUCAGGGGAAACUCUGAUGGAAGCUCGUAGCGAUACUGACGUGCAAAUCGUUCGUCGUACUUGGGUAUAGGGGCGAAAGACUAAUCGAACCAUCUAGUAGCUGGUUCCCUCUGAAGUUUCCCUCAGGAUAGCUGGAAUUGCACAGUUUUAUCAUGUAAAGCGAAUGAUUAAAGGAAUCGGGGAUGUGUUGUCUUCGACCUAUUCUCAAACUUUAAAUGGGUACGAUCCAGUGGUUGCUUUUGUGAACUUCGGGGAUAAAUGACAAUUCUAAGUGGGCCAUUUUUGGUAAGCAGAACUGGCGAUGAGGGAUGAACCUGACAUUGUGUUGAAGUGCUCAAUUGCUCGCUCAUCAGGUACCAUAAAGGGUGUUGGUUCAUUUAAACAGCAGGACGGUGGUCAUGGAAGUCGAAACCCGCUAAGGAGUGUGUAACAACUCACCUGCCGAAUGGACUGGCCCCGAAAAUGGAUGGCACUCAAGCGAGUGACUGAUACACAAUCAUUGAUGUAAUUUUGCACAUCUGUGAGUAGGAGGGCAUGGGGGUUUGUUGUGCAACUUUAGGUGCAAAC